rnacentral:rRNA from 1 species
UACAGAGGUGGCAAGCGUUGUUCGGAAUUACUGGGCGUAAAGGGCGCGUAGGCGGCCUUCUAAGUCAGACGUGAAAUCCCCCGGCUUAACCUGGGAACUGCGUCUGAUACUGGGAGGCUUGAGUAUGGGAGAGGGAUGUAGAAUUCCAGGUGUAGCGGUGAAAUGCGUAGAUAUCUGGAGGAACACCGGUGGCGAAGGCGGCAUCCUGGACCGACACUGACACUGAGGAGCGAAAGCCAGGGGAGCAAACGGG